rnacentral:rRNA from 1 species
AGUGAACGCUGGCGGUAGGCCUAACACAUGCAAGUCGAACGGCAGCACAGUAAGAGCUUGCUCUUACGGGUGGCGAGUGGCGGACGGGUGAGGAAUACAUCGGAAUCUACUUUUUCGUGGGGGAUAACGUAGGGAAACUUACGCUAAUACCGCAUACGACCUACGGGUGAAAGCAGGGGAUCUUCGGACCUUGCGCGAUUGAAUGAGCCGAUGUCGGAUUAGCUAGUUGGCGGGGUAAAGGCCCACCAAGGCGACGAUCCGUAGCUGGUCUGAGAGGAUGAUCAGCCACACUGGAACUGAGACACGGUCCAGACUUCUAAGGGAGGCAGCAGUGGGGAAUAUUGGACAAUGGGCGCAAGCCUGAUCCAGCCAUACCGCGUGGGUGAAGAAGGCCUUCGGGUUGUAAAGCCCUUUUGUUGGGAAAGAAAAGCAGCAGGUUAAUACCCCGCUGUUCUGACGGUACCCAAAGAAUAAGCACCGGCUAACUUCGUG